UACAGGGGGGGCAAGCGUUGUUCGGAAUUACUGGGCGUAAAGGGCUCGUAGGCGGCCAACUAAGUCAGACGUGAAAUCCCUCGGCUUAACCGGGGAACUGCGUCUGAUACUGGAUGGCUAGAGGUUGGGAGAGGGAUGCGGAAUUCCAGGUGUAGCGGUGAAAUGCGUAGAUAUCUGGAGGAACACCGGUGGCGAAGGCGGCAUCCUGGACCAAUUCUGACGCUGAGGAGCGAAAGCCAGGGGAGCAAACGGG
rnacentral:rRNA from 1 species